rnacentral:tRNA from 1 species
GCGGCAGUAGCUCAGUGGUAGAACCUUGCUUCACAUGCGGGAAGACCUGGGUUCCAUUCCCGGCUGCUUCC